UAACAUGUAUGGGUUGUUUUGCAGUGUU
rnacentral:piRNA from 1 species